rnacentral:tRNA from 1 species
AUUUAUAUAAUAUAAAAAGUAUAAUUAACUUCCAAUUAAAAAGUCUGAUAAAUUCAGUAUAAAUA